rnacentral:rRNA from 1 species
AUUGAACGCUGGCGGCAUGCUUUACACAUGCAAGUCGAACGGCAGCGCGGGCUUCGGCCUGGCGGCGAGUGGCGAACGGGUGAGUAAUACAUCGGAACGUGCCCAGUAGUGGGGGAUAGCUCGGCGAAAGCCGGAUUAAUACCGCAUACGACCUGAGGGGGAAAGCGGGGGAUCUUCGGACCUCGCGCUAUUGGAGCGGCCGAUGGCAGAUUAGCGAGUUGGUGGGGUAAAGGCCUACCAAGGCGACGAUCUGUAGCUGGUCUGAGAGGACGACCAGCCACACUGGAACGGAGACACGGCCCAGACUCCUACGGGAGGCAGCAGUGGGGAAUUUUGGACAAUGGGCGAAAGCCUGAUCCAGCAAUGCCGCGUGUGUGAUGAAGGCCUUCGGGUUGUAAAGCACUUUUGGCGGGAACGAAAAGGACUGUGCCAAUACCACGGUUCGAUGACGGUACCCGCAGAAUAAGCACCGGCUAACUACGUG